UGGCGGCGUGCCUAAUACAUGCAAGUCGAGCGAACGGAUGAGAAGCUUGCUUCUCUGAUGUUAGCGGCGGGCGGGUGAGUAACACGUGGAUAACCUACCUAUAAGACUGGGAUAACUUCGGGAAACCGGAGCUAAUACCGGAUAAUAUUUUGAACCGCAUGGUUCAAAAGUGAAAGACGGUCUUGCUGUCACUUAUAGAUGGAUCCGCGCUGCAUUAGCUAGUUGGUAAGGUAACGGCUUACCAAGGCAACGAUGCAUAGCCGACCUGAGAGGGUGAUCGGCCACACUGGAACUGAGACACGGUCCAGACUCCUACGGGAGGCAGCAGUAGGGAAUCUUCCGCAAUGGGCGAAAGCCUGACGGAGCAACGCCGCGUGAGUGAUGAAGGUCUUCGGAUCGUAAAACUCUGUUAUUAGGGAAGAACAUAUGUGUAAGUAACUGUGCACAUCUUGACGGUACCUAAUCAGAAAGCCACGGCUAACUACGUGCCAGCAGCCGCGGUAAUACGUAGGUGGCAAGCGUUAUCCGGAAUUAUUGGGCGUAAAGCGCGCGUAGGCGGUUUUUUAAGUCUGAUGUGAAAGCCCACGGCUCAACCGUGGAGGGUCAUUGGAAACUGGAAAACUUGAGUGCAGAAGAGGAAAGUGGAAUUCCAUGUGUAGCGGUGAAAUGCGCAGAGAUAUGGAGGAACACCAGUGGCGAAGGCGACUUUCUGGUCUGUAACUGACGCUGAUGUGCGAAAGC
rnacentral:rRNA from 1 species